rnacentral:rRNA from 1 species
CCUACGGGAGGCAGCAGUGAGGAAUAUUGGUCAAUGGGCGCGAGCCUGAACCAGCCAAGUAGCGUGAAGGAUGACUGCCCUACGGGUUGUAAACUUCUUUUAUAAAGGAAUAAAGUGAGGCACGUGUGCCUUUUUGUAUGUACUUUAUGACUAAGGAUCGGCUAACUCCGUGCCAGCAGCCGCGGUAAUACGGAGGAUCCGAGCGUUAUCCGGAUUUAUUGGGUUUAAAGGAAGCGUAUAUGGGUUGUUAAGUCAUGUGUGAAAGGUUGCGGAUAAAACGUAAAAUUGCAAUUGAUACUGGCAGCCUUGGUGACAGUUGAGGUAGGCGGAAUUCGUUGUGUAGGAGUGAAAUGCUUAGAUAUCACGAAGAACUCCGAUUGCGAAGGCAGCCUAAUAAACUGCCACUGACAUUGAUGCUCGAAAGUGUGGGUAUCAAACAGGAGUAGAUACCCGAGUAGUC